rnacentral:rRNA from 1 species
CAAAAACAUAGCCUUUAGCAAACUAAGUAUUAAAGGUGACGCCUGCCCAGUGACUAGUUCAACGGCCGCGGGAUCCUCCACCGUGCAAAGGUAGCAUAAUCACUUGUCUCCUAAAUAGAGACUAGUAUGAACGGCCAAAUGAAGAUUUACCUGUCUCUUGAAGCUCAUCUAUGAAACUGAUCUUUCAGUACAAAAGCUGAAAUUUAAACACAAGACGAAAAGACCCUGUGGAACUUAAAGCCAAAGUCAACAAACUGACCAACCGCUUUUAGUUGGGGCAACUUUGGAAAAAAACAAAACUUCCAAUUAACAAACUAGGCAGACACGCCAAAAUAUAUUAAUAACACUAGACCCAGUAUUACUGACUAAAGAAAAAAGCUACCCCAGGGAUAACAGCGCCAUCCCCUCAUAGAGCCCCCAUCGACGAGCGGGGUUUACGACCUCGAUGUUGGAUCAGGGCACCCAAGCAGUGCAGCAGCUGCUAACGGUUUGUUUGUUCAACAAUUAAAGCCCUACGUGAUCUGAGUUAAGACCGGA